rnacentral:snRNA from 1 species
AUUGCUUCUAGGCCUUUUGGCUAAGAUCAAGUGUAGUAUCUGUUCUUAUCAGUUUAAUAAACACACUUUCAGACUUUCUGGAAGUGAUCAGAUAUGAGGCAUUUAUCAACUAUC